GCAGCCCUCCAAACGAUUUCAAAACCAUUUGAUAGCCCACAUACGUUAAGUACACUCGUUGUACUUUCAUUUGUCACUGGUUUGAGCCUCAUCCGAGUCGUAUACAACAUGUACCCAUACUACAAGAAAUAUAUGUUUCAACGRCGAAAAAAAUUAGUGGCAAAAAACGCGUCCGUCACAUAAUAUGGGACGCAAAGUGUUUUCGUUGCUAAAAUAUGCGACGAAGUAACUUUGGUCGCAUAUUUAUGGGACGCAAAUGAUUUCGUCGCAUAAAUAUGCAGCAGCAUGAAAUCCCUAAUUUCUAAUUUCUCACCAUCGCAUCUCCUUGCUCUCUCUGUUCGCCACCCUGUCCCUCUACUCUCUCCACCGUCGGUUGCUGUUGCCUCACCGCCCUCCUCCGAUUCGACUUCACGUGCUGCCACUGCCGCCCUCUCUAUUCUCUCUUCCCGCCUCUGCCUUGCCAUCGCCUCGCCGCCGCCCUCUCUACUCUUUCCCCACCGCCUCUGCCUUGCCGUCGCCUCGCUGUUGCCCUCGUGAAUUUCUCUGAGCAGGAGACGCAACAACAAUUAGAGAGAGCAUUGGCAGCUGAAAGACAAGCGACUGAACAACAGCUAGAAAGGCAACGCCAAGAGUUUGAAAUGAAACUUCUCGAAAUGUAUCAAACACUUGCGAGGGGAGGAAGUUCAUCACAUAGUAAAGAUCGAUGCAACGAUAUAUGGUGGAAACAUAUUUUGUAACCUUGGCUCGAUUGGAGGGAGAAUGUUAUUUAUAAAUUUAGAAAAAAUCCAAGCUAGAUGCCUUGUCCAAUUCCGAGAAUGGCUUUAAUGUAAAACACAAGUUUUUGUGUGUUUUGAAGCUUCCCCAAGCCCCUCCACGUGCCUCAAGUGAUCAUAGUUUUUAGUUGUUGUUGUUUUAAACUUUGUUUAUUUCAGGUUCAUCAUUUAUCUUCCAGCUUGUUAUUCUUGAGUUGUAAGUUUCAUAUUAUUCAAUUAAAACUCCAGCAAGUUCUUUGA